GCCUGGCUGGCUCAGUUGGUAGAGAAUGUGACUCUUGAUCUUGGGGUCAUGAGUUCAAACCUCACGGUGGGCA
rnacentral:tRNA from 1 species